rnacentral:rRNA from 2 species
GAUUAAGCCAUGCAUGUGUAAGUGUAAAUAUUUAAGUUUGGAACUGCGAAUGGCUCAUUAUAUCAGUUAUAGUUUAUUUGGUGAAGUGUACUACUUGGAUAACCGUAGUAAUUCUAGGGCUAAUACAUGAGAAAGUCCUCUGGUGAGGUGUGUUUAUUAGAAUGAAAACCAUAUGCUUCGGCAUGAUAGUGAGUAAUAGUAACCUAUCGUAUCGCAUGCUUAAUGUAGCGAUGAGUCUUUCAAGUUUCUGCCCUAUCAGCUUUCGAUGGUAGUAUAUGGGCCUACCAUG